rnacentral:rRNA from 1 species
GACGAACGCUGGCGGCGUGCUUAACACAUGCAAGUCGAACGGAAAGUCCCUGCUUUUGUGGGGUGCUCGAGUUGCGAACGGGUGAGUAACACGUGAGUAACCUGCCCUUGACUUUGGGAUAACUUCAUGAAACUUGGGCUAAUACCGGAUAGGAGCUCCUGCUUCAUGGUGGGGGUUGGAAAGUUUCGGCGGUUGGUGAUGGACUGGCGGCUUAUCAGCUUGUUGGUGGGGUAGUGGCUUACCAAGGCUUUGACGGGUAGCCGGGCUGAGCGGGUGACAGGCCACAUUGGGACUGAGCUAAGGCCCAGACUCCUACGGGAGGCAGAAGUGGGGAAUAGUGCACAAUGGGAGGAAGCCUGAUGCAGCAAAGCAGCGUGCGGGAUGAAGGCAUUCGGGUUGUAAACCGAUUUCGCCUGUGACGAAGCGUGAGUGACGGUAAUGGGUAAAGAAGCACCGGCUAACUACGUG